rnacentral:rRNA from 1 species
AGCGAACGCUGGCGGCAGGCUUAACACAUGCAAGUCGAGCGCCCCGCUAGGGGAGCGGCAGACGGGAGAGUAACACGUGGGAACAUACCUUUUGGUUCGGAACAACUGAGGGAAACUUCAGCUAAUACCGGAUAAGCCCUUACGGGGAAAGAUUUAUCGCCGAAAGAUUGGCCCGCGUCUGAUUAGCUAGUUGGUGAGGUAACGGCUCACCAAGGCGACGAUCAGUAGCUGGUCUGAGAGGAUGAUCAGCCUCACUGGGACUGAGACACGGCCCAGACUCCUACGGGAGGCAGCAGUGGGGAAUAUUGGACAAUGGGGGCAACCCUGAUCCAGCCAUGCCGCGUGAGUGAUGAAGGCCUUAGGGUUGUAAAGCUCUUUUGCCCGGGAAGAUAAUGACGGUACCGGGAGAAUAAGCCCCGGCUAACUUCGUG